ACCCAGUCUCGUCAGAUCAAGGAAGUCAAGCAACAUUGGGUCAAGUUAGUACUUGGAUGGGUGACCGCCUGGGAAUACUUGAUGCUGUAGAUAA
rnacentral:rRNA from 1 species